CCUACGGGGGGSSWGCAGUAGGGAAUCUUCCGCAAUGGACGAAAGUCUGACGGAGCAACGCCGCGUGAGUGAUGAAGGUUUUCGGAUCGUAAAGCUCUGUUGUUAGGGAAGAACAAGUACCGUUCGAAUAGGGCGGUACCUUGACGGUACCUAACCAGAAAGCCACGGCUAACUACGUGCCAGCAGCCGCGGUAAUACGUAGGUGGCAAGCGUUGUCCGGAAUUAUUGGGCGUAAAGGGCUCGCAGGCGGUUUCUUAAGUCUGAUGUGAAAGCCCCCGGCUCAACCGGGGAGGGUCAUUGGAAACUGGGGAACUUGAGUGCAGAAGAGGAGAGUGGAAUUCCACGUGUAGCGGUGAAAUGCGUAGAGAUGUGGAGGAACACCAGUGGCGAAGGCGACUCUCUGGUCUGUAACUGACGCUGAGGAGCGAAAGCGUGGGGAGCGAAACAGGAUUAGAUACCCCNCUGNAAUCCA
rnacentral:rRNA from 1 species